GGUGGCAGAGUGGUUAAAGUGUUUGACUACUAACCAAAAGGUCGGUGGUUUGAACCCACCAGCCA
rfam:Loxodonta africana unplaced genomic scaffold scaffold_101, whole genome shotgun sequence.